GCACCAGACUCCUACGGGAGGCAGCAGUGGGGGAUAUUGCACAAUGGGGGGAACCCUGAUGCAGCGACGCCGCGUGGGUGAAGGAGUGCUUCGGCAUGUAAAGCCCUAUCGGCAGGGAAGAAGCAAGACGGUACCUGACUAAGAAGCCCCGGCUAACUACGUGCCAGCAGCCGCGGUAAUACGUAGGGGGCAAGCGUUAUCCGGAUUUACUGGGUGUAAAGGGGGCGCAGACGGCAGCGCAAGCCAGGAGUGAAAGCCCGGGGCCCAACCCCGGGACUGCUCUUGGAACUGCGCGGCUGGAGUGCAGGAGGGGCAGGCGGAAUUCCUGGUGUAGCGGUGAAAUGCGUAGAUAUUAGGAGGAACACCAGUGGCGAAGGCGGCCUGCUGGACGACAACUGACGGUGAGGCGCGAAAGCGUGGGGAGCAAACAGGAUUAGAUACCCUUGUA
rnacentral:rRNA from 1 species